rnacentral:rRNA from 1 species
UACGGAGGGUGCGAGCGUUAUCCGGAAUUACUGGGUUUAAAGGGUGCGUAGGCGGCUAUGUAAGUCAGGAGUGAAAGUUUGCGGCUCAACCGUAAAAUUGCUUUUGAUACUGCAUGGCUGGAAUUAGGAUGAGGUCAGCGGAAUGUGGCAUGUAGCGGUGAAAUGCGUAGAUAUGCCAUAGAACACCAAUUGCGAAGGCAGCUGGCUAGACCUGGAUUGACGCUGAGGCACGAAAGCGUGGGGAGCGAACAGG